rnacentral:rRNA from 1 species
UACAGAGGGGGCAAGCGUUGUUCGGAAUUACUGGGCGUAAAGGGCGCGUAGGCGGCCUUCUAAGUCGAACGUGAAAUCCCCGGGCUCAACCCGGGAACUGCGUCCGAUACUGGAAGGCUUGAAUCCGGGAGAGGGAUGUGGAAUUCCAGGUGUAGCGGUGAAAUGCGUAGAUAUCGGGAGGAACACCAGUGGCGAAGGCGACUACCUGGCCUGUUCUUGACGCUGAGGCGCGAAAGCUAGGGGAGCAAACGGG